rnacentral:rRNA from 1 species
GACGUAGGGCGCGAGCGUUGUCCGGAUUUAUUGGGCGUAAAGAGCUCGUAGGCGGUUUGUCGCGUCUGCCGUGAAAGUCCGGGGCUUAACCCCGGGCCUGCAGUGGGUACGGGCAGACUAGAGUGCGGUAGGGGAGACUGGAAUUCCUGGUGUAGCGGUGAAAUGCGCAGAUAUCAGGAGGAACACCAAUGGCGAAGGCAGCUCGCUGGGACGGUACUGACGCUGAGACGCGAAAGCGUGGGGAGCAAACA